rnacentral:rRNA from 1 species
CCUACGGGAGGCAGCAGUGAGGAAUAUUGGUCAAUGGCCGUAAGGCUGAACCAGCCAAGUAGCGUGAGGGAAGACUGCCCUAUGGGUUGUAAACCUCUUUUAUGCGGGGACAAAGGUGGCCACGCGUGGACGUUUGCAGGUACCGCAUGAAAAAGCACCGGCUAAUUCCGUGCCAGCAGCCGCGGUAAUACGGAGGGUGCGGGCGUUAUCCGGAUUUAUUGGGUUUAAAGGGAGCGUAGGCCGGUCUUUAAGCGUGCGGUGAAAGUUUGGGGCUCAACCAUGGGAGGGCGGCGCGAAUUGGAGACCUUGAGUGCGCGUAAGGCAGGCGGAAUUCGUGGUGUAGCGGUGAAAUGCUUAGAUAUCACGAAGAACCCCGAUUGCGAAGGCAGCCUGCCGCAGCGUUACUGACGCUGAAGCUCGAAAGCGCGGGUAUCGAACAGGAUUAGAUACCCUUGUAGUC